UUAAAUUGAAGAGUUUGAUCAUGGCUCAGAUUGAACGCUGGCGGCAGGCCUAACACAUGCAAGUCGAACGGUAACAGGAAGCAGCUUGCUGUUUCGCUGACGAGUGGCGGACGGGUGAGUAAUGUCUGGGAAACUGCCUUAUGGAGGGGGAUAACUACUGGAAACGGU
rnacentral:rRNA from 1 species